GAUGAACGCUGGUUGCGUGCUUAACACAUGCAAGUCGAACGGAAAGGCCCCUGCUUGCAGGGGUGCUCGAGUGGCAAACGGGUGAGUAACACGUGGGUGAUCUGCCCUGCACUUUGGGAUAAGCCUGGGAAACUGGGUCUAAUACCGGAUAGGACCAUCUUUUAGUGUCUGUGGUGGAAAGUUUUUUCGGUGUGGGAUGAGCUCGCGGCCUAUCAACUUGUUGGUGGGGUAAUGGCCUACCAAGGCGUCCACAGGUAUCCGGCCUGAGAAGGUGUACGGCCACAUUGGGACUGAUAUACCGCCCAUACUCCUACGGGAGGCAACAAUGGGGAAUAUUGCACAAUGGGCGCAAGCCUGAUGAAACGACGCCGCGUGGGGGAUGACGGCCUUCGGGUUGUAAACUCCUUUCUCCAAGGACGAAGCGUUAUGUGACGGUACUUGGAGAAUAAGCACCGGCUAACUACGUGCCAUCAGCCGCGAUAAUACGUAGGGUGCUAGCGUUGUCCGGAAUUACUGGGCGUAAAGAGCUCGUAGGUGGUAUGUCACGUCAUUUGUGGAAUACCGCAGCUUAUCUGUGGGGUUGCAAGCGAUACGGGCAUAACUUGAGUGCUGUAGGGGAGACUGGAAUUCCUGGGGNAGCGGUGGAAUGCGCAGAUAUCAGGAGGAACACCGAUGGCGAAGGCAGGUCUCUGGGCAGUAACUGACGCUGAGGAGCGAAAGCAUGGGUAGCGAACAGGAUUAGAUACCCUGGUAGUCCAUGCCGUAAACGGUGGGCGCUAGGUGUGAGUCCCUUCCACGGGGUUCGUGCCGUAGCUAACGCAUUAAGCGCCCCGCCUGGGGAGUACGGCCGCAAGGCUAAAACUCAAAGGAAUUGACGGGGGCCCGCACAAGCGGCGGAGCAUGUGGAUUAAUUCGAUGCAACGCGAAGAACCUUACCUGGGCUUGACAUACACCAGAUGGCUGUAGAGAUACAGUGUCCCUUGUGGUUGGUGUACAGGUGGUGCAUGGUUGUCGUCAGCUCGUGUCGUGAGAUGUUGGGUUAAGUCCCGCAACGAGCGCAACCCUUGUCUUAUGUUGCCAGCGGUUCGGCCGGGGACUCAUGAGAGACUGCCGGGGUUAACUCGGGGGAAGGUGGGGAUGACGUCAAAUCAUCAUGCCCCUUAUGUCCAGGGCUUCACACAUGCUACAAUGGUCGGUACAACGCGUGACGACACCGUGAGGUGAAGUGGAUCGCUGAAAGCCGGUCGUAGUUCGGAUUGGGGUCUGCAACUCGACCCCAUGAAGUCGGAGUCGCUAGUAAUCGCAGAUCAGCAACGCUGCGGUGAAUACGUUCCCGGGCCU
rnacentral:rRNA from 1 species